GACGAACGCUGGCGGCGUGCUUAACACAUGCAAGUCGAACGGUAAGGCCCUUCGGGGUACACGAGUGGCGAACGGGUGAGUAACACGUGGGUGAUCUGCCCUGCACUUCGGGAUAAGCCUGGGAAACUGGGUCUAAUACCGGAUAGGACCACUGCCUGCAUGGGUGGUGGUGGAAAGCUUUUGCGGUGUGGGAUGGGCCCGCGGCCUAUCAGCUUGUUGGUGGGGUAAUGGCCUACCAAGGCGACGACGGGUAGCCGGCCUGAGAGGGUGACCAGUCGGACUGGGACUGAGAUACGGCCCAGACUCCUACGGGAGGCAGCAGUGGGGAAUAUUGCACAAUGGGCGCAAGCCUGAUGCAGCGACGCCGCGUGAGGGAUGACGGCCUUCGGGUUGUAAACCUCUUUCAGCUAUGACGAAGCGCAAGUGACGGUAGUAGCAGAAGAAGGACCGGCCAACUACGUGCCAGCCGCCGCGGUAA
rnacentral:rRNA from 1 species